AAACGCAAACGCAAAUAGCAGCGUUCUCACCAAUGUAUUUUCGCCGCCGGCCGGCUUCUCUUGUGUCUCUGUGUAAUAUCAGAACAGAAUCCGUCGCGCUCCUUCUCCUUCUCUUGUGUCUCUGUUUUAACAGGGAUUGGCCGCUGAUUCGUUAACUUAAUAAAGAAAACAAAAGAAGAAAAAAACAAUCCUUUUUGUCUUCUAGGUGAAUGAAUGAGAGACAUGGAGGAGACUAUAAAGAUAUGUGAUUUAUCCGACGAUUUGCUAUUGCGGAUCUUAAUCCUCGUCCCGGCAAAAGAUGCGGUGGCCACUGCCAUCUUGUCUAAACGAUGGCGUUACAUCUGGCAGUUGCUGCCUCACCUCACUUUCGAAGACGAAGACGACCAAGACAGCGAGAGCUUUGGUUGGUUUGUUGACAAGACAAUGCAACAACUCCACAAGGCACCGUCACUAAUAUGCCUCGACGUCGAACUGGGUCCACUAUGUCCUGUUGACGUAGAUGUAACAAAGUGGGUUGACAAGGCAGUUAACCACAGCGUGAGAUUUCGCUCUCCUCUAGACAGGAGAGCCCACAAGCUCAUUUCUUUAACUCUGUCCAACCAGACCCUGGUCGAUGUUUCUUUCCCGGAUGCUAGCCUGCCAUCUCUUUUAUAUCUGAAACUUGUCAAGGUGGUGUACAAAGACGAAGUUUCUCUUGCUAGGCUUUUCUCAAGUUCCCCUGUUCUCCGCGAACUGGAUGUUCAACGACGUGAUGAGGAUGAAUCAUUGACAAACUUUACCGUCAAAGUGCCUUCAUUGAAAGAAUUUACUUAUGGUAGGUUGAGAUGGGGCACUUAUAGACCUUAUGGUGGUGGAUUUAGAUGGGAAGGUGGAGAAUAUGCUUUGCCUUGAUGAGGUGUACAUCAGCCAUGAUCCUAACCCUGAUGGAAAGUUUCUGAGCUGUCUUUCUUCUGCCAGACUUCUCCGCUUGUAUUUAUCCGAAUCAAUGGUUGCCUGUUGUAGUAACGCCAUUAAUUUCUCUCGGCUCAUAGAUUUAAUCUUUGUUACACAAAAGCCAGUACAUUGGUUGGAACCUCUUAUUUUUAUGCUUCAAAACUCCCCUAAACUGAAAAUUCUUACGAUCGACACCCAUGGUUAUCCCACAUGUUCGUGGAACCAGCCGAGUACUAUUCCCCAAUGCUUAUCGUCUCAUCUAGAGAUUGUUAGGUGGAAAAGAUAUCAAGGAAAAGAAGAAGAUGAGUAACAACUAAUAACAUACAUUCUCGCUAACUCCAAGCGUUUAAAGACAGUCAAGAUACAUCAGCGACGAUCUUCAAGAGUGCCAGAAAAACGAGUUAGAAUCUAUGCCUAGGAUUUCAGCAUCAUCUCCGCUUCUUUAUUUUACCGCUAAAGCCGAGUGUGAUUUUUAAGCUGGAGACAAUUUUUUAUUUACUACAGUCAGUACUGUAGAUUAUUAUUUGGUUAUUUA